UACAGAGGGUGCAAGCGUUAAUCGGAGUUACUGGGCGUAAAGGGCGCGUAGGCGGAUAUUUAAGUUGGAUGUGAAAUCCCUGGGCUUAACCUAGGAAUUGCAUACAAAACUGGGUAUCUGGAGUACUGUAGAGGGUAGUGGAAUUUCCGGUGUAGCGGUGAAAUGCGUAGAGAUCGGAAGGAACAUCAGUGGCGAAAGCGACUUCCUGGACCAAUACUGACGCUCAUGUGCGAAAGCGUGGGGAGCAAACAGG
rnacentral:rRNA from 1 species